CAGUCGCCGCGGGAAUACAGAGGGUGCGAGCGUUAAUCGGAUUUACUGGGCGUAAAGCGUGCGUAGGCGGCUUCUUAAGUCGGAUGUGAAAUCCCUGAGCUUAACUUAGGAAUUGCAUUCGAUACUGGGAAGCUAGAGUAUGGGAGAGGAUGGUAGAAUUCCAGGUGUAGCGGUGAAAUGCGUAGAGAUCUGGAGGAAUACCGAUGGCGAAGGCAGCCAUCUGGCCUAAUACUGACGCUGAGGUACGAAAGCAUGGGGAGCAAACAGGAUUAGAUACCCCAGUAGUCCCUGUCUCUAUACA
rnacentral:rRNA from 1 species